rnacentral:lncRNA from 1 species
CUCUGAGCCACUAUACAGAUCCAAAUCUGCCUGGCACAUCACCUGGCAGAGCCCCACUGCCAGCCCACGGGCAGACCAGCUAAAGAUGGAGUGGCAGACUCUUAGAAGAAACAGCAGUGCAGAGCCAAGGGAGGCUGCUUUAUGAAAGGACCAGUUGUACUUAGUGAUGGAGGAACUGUUGGAACUUGGGACCCUGGGAGCAGAUACCAACAACUUUGUGUCCUCAGAAGGCAAUGAAAAACCAUCAGAUUUACAGCAUUUGAAAAUGCUGUAAAUGCUGAAAUGAGACGAUAUAAGGAAAAGCUCUUCCAGCCUGCCAGCUAUGAAGAAUUUCUUUAUACCAUCCAUCCCUGACUAGUGCCAGAGACAAGUAAAUGCACGUAAGCCCCUGUGCCUGCCAUCUGUUGAGUAAAGCCUGCUGCCAGCUGCUUCUCGUGGGCUGCAGGGAGAGUGGAAACUACCAGGACAGAUAUUUGAAGACGAUCAGCAUGAAAAUACACCAAAUAGCAGAUACUUCACUCAGUUUGAAGACUUUCUGAAAACUUCAGCUUGAGGCUCAGCUUUCAUCUGCUCUUCAGAGAUCUCUGGCUUGACUCUUGCCCUCCUGUUCACUCCUAUUCAGGCAAGGGCCAGUGUUUCUACUGACUUCGGUGGGAACGGGAUUGGGCCAUUAAUGUGCAUUUGACAUAGAGAAGCAGACUAAUUGAAGUCAAAAUGGUUUUAGAGGUCUAGUUAGGUUGAUUUUAAUGAGGGUUUUUUGAGCUGCCUUACUUCUUACAGUUUUGGUUUUUUUUUCUUUUUUUGCUACAGGAAUCUUUUCCUUAACAGCGGUGUGUUAUAAAGUGUUCAGCCAGUCUUUUGUGUUCCCUCAACACCACAGGAUUCGUGCACCUCACCAAUUCUAAAAAUAAAUACAAAUGAAAGCCAAC